rnacentral:rRNA from 1 species
CCUACGGGUGGCUGCAGUAGGGAAUAUUGCACAAUGGAGGAAACUCUGAUGCAGCGACGCCGCGUGAGUGAUGAAGGCCUUCGGGUUGUAAAGCUCUGUUCUCAGGGAAAAAGAAAGUGAUUGUACCUGAGGAGAAAGGACCGGCUAACUUCGUGCCAGCAGCCGCGGUAAGACGAGGGGUCCAAGCGUUGUUCGGAAUCAUUGGGCGUAAAGCGGGUGUAGGCGGCUCUAUAAGUCAGGAGUGAAAGCCCCGAGCUUAACUCGGGAAGUGCUUU